rnacentral:rRNA from 1 species
GACGAACGCUGGCGGCGUGCUUAACACAUGCAAGUCGAGCGGUAAGGCCCUUUCGGGGGUACACGAGCGGCGAACGGGUGAGUAACACGUGGGUGACCUGCCCUCAGCUCUGGGAUAAGCCUGGGAAACCGGGUCUAAUACCGGAUAUGACUCCAUGACGCAUGUUGUGGGGUGGAAAGCCUUGUGCGGCUGAGGAUGGGCCCGCGGCCUAUCAGCUUGUUGGUGGGGUGANGGCCUACCAAGGCGACGACGGGUAGCCGGCCUGAGAGGGCGACCGGCCACACUGGGACUGAGAUACGGCCCAGACUCCUACGGGAGGCAGCAGUGGGGAAUAUUGCGCAAUGGGCGGAAGCCUGAUGCAGCGACGCCGCGUGGGGAUGACGGCCUCGG